rnacentral:rRNA from 1 species
UACGGAGGGUGCAAGCGUUAUCCGGAUUCACUGGGUUUAAAGGGUGCGUAGGUGGGCAGGUAAGUCAGUGGUGAAAUCCCGAGCGUUAACUUGGGAACUGCCAUUGAUACUAUCAGUCUUGAAUACCGUGGAGGUCAGCUGGAAUAUGUCAUGUAGCGGUGAAAUGCUUAGAUAUGACAUAGAACACCAAUUGCGAAGGCAGCUGGCUACACGAAUAUUGACACUGAGCACGAAAGCGUGGGGAUCAAACAGGA